UACGUAGGGUGCAAGCGUUAAUCGGAAUUACUGGGCGUAAAGCGUGCGCAGGCGGUUUUGUAAGUCUGUCGUGAAAUCCCCGGGCUCAACCGGGAAUUGCGAUGGAGACUGCAAGGCUAGAAUCUGGCAGAGGGGGGUAGAAUUCCACGUGUAGCAGUGAAAUGCGUAGAGAUGUGGAGGAACACCGAUGGCGAAGGCAGCCCCCUGGGUCAAGAUUGACGCUCAUGCGCGAAAGCGUGGGGAGCAAACAGG
rnacentral:rRNA from 1 species